ACGGCGUCGAGAAAGACGAGAAAAGUAUGAAAAAAAAAAGAAAGGAUCAAAAAGAAAGGACGAAAUGGAACAAACUCGAAAAAAGAGGAUGCAGAACUGAUUGAUACCUACGAGAGAAGGAAGGGUCCUAACCUUCAGAAGACAUACCCCCGAGGAAGGACGUUCGAAAGUGCCAAUAAUUUUCUGACAUAAACGACGAAACGCCAUCUUUCACGCGAGCCGUAAAGUUUCGGGCGAAGGAAUUUCACGGGGUUUUCGAAAAAUGUCCGUAACUGGCCAUCUGUCUGUAGCCCGGGGCCAAGCUAUAAAAGACUACCGGGACAAAGUAUUGUGCGAAAGAGCUAGAAAAUUCGAGAAUCUAACCUUAAAGUUUGUGUCCGUAUUCGUAAGUUAGGUUAGGUUAUGUUUGGCGAAGAGAUAUCUCACGAAGGAUACCACAGGGUGAGCUAGAAAGUCUAAGGAGCAUGAAGGAUCUUCCUGCGAGUAUAAAACGAUACACGGAAUAUCGAGCCGCCAUCAAUAGCUACACGGCACAUAAUUUACGAGCUCGAUCGAAGCGGACAGUCGUUAAGCGAAACGAUUCCGUCGGGGAGUUCCAGUGGAGGUUAUUGCAUCGCCACGCUUCUCCAUGAUCGGAAGCUUAAUUUAUGCGUGCUAGGAUGUAUCCAGUGGUGAUAGUGUGCUUAUACGUAUAUAUAAUAUAUCAGAGAGAAUACCCACAUGACACAUGAGUAUACUGAGGAAAGGUUAUGUAUUCUGAAUAUGGGUGGGUGGAAAUCAGGAAUGGUCCUGAAAACCAGUUAGAUAUUGGUGUAUACAGUUGAUCAAGAGUUCAUGGUGUACUAACGAUAGCAACAGGAUGGUGCAUAGUAUAGGCACAGGUUCUUACUAGAUUGUACCUGCAUUGGCAAUUGGUACAGGGAUGCUGAGCAGAGAUCAGUGAGAGAAGCCAAGGUCUACGCGAGCGAUGCAAACUCGCACAUACGUUCACGCCGGUCAUUCAGAACCGGCGGCAGAGAAAAAAAGGUCUUAUCCUCAAUGGAGAAUGAGCGUAUACAUAUGUAGUGUGCGAGAACUGGAAAUAGGUACUGGACCCAGCAUCCUCUAGGUCUCCACAGUCUCCUUGAUCUCAACAUAAGAAAAUAUAAGUAAUACCUGUAUACUGCAAAAUAUUCCAGGCUUCCCAAAAGCUUCAAAAAUGAAUAAAGAAAAUGAUUCGUU